rnacentral:sRNA from 1 species
GCGCGAGAGAGGCGACUCGUUUAGUACCACCUCGCCUAGCGAAGAGGGGACGGGAGGGCGAGUAGGCUACAAAUAGAGGGGCAGAGCAACGCUGCAACUCAUACCUUUCUCGGCCUUUUGGCUAAGAUCAAGUGUAGUAUCUGUUCUUAUCAGUUUAAUAUCUGAUAUGUGGGUCAUGUGCCCAUAACGAUAUUAAAUUUAUUUUUUGUGGGGGAGGGCCCACCACAGUGGCUUGCCACUGGGGCCCUCGGGUGUCGUCCAGUGCGUUGCACUACUGCCUGGGCAGGCGCACCCCAA